GCAGUCCCCCAGCCAGAUGCAUAUAUGUAUGAAAUACCGAAGAUAGGAUCUCUGUUUGCAAUUCUUCAACUCCCAUGCACGUGGUCUGAGGUUUCAGUAGGUAAGUUAUUGGGUGAAAAAAAUAUUUUAUAGGAGCAGGUGGAUGAGAGAUUUUUCAGGCUAGUGACAUUUGUGAUGUUUUUCUACUAUUAAGAUCAGAUUUUUUCCUUACCGUUUCUCAGUUUAUAAUUUCCUCACAGGAUUUACAGGAAUAGUUGUAAUCCCAAAUCACCAGUGGCAUUUAACCCCCUUAGAACUAGAGCACUGUAACACGAUUAAUAAGGAUUGCCACCUUGAAGUUUAACAACUUGAAAACCGGGAUUUCUCUACCUCCAUUGCAGCCACGAAAUGCAGCAGAAUGCUGCACAGAGUUGAAAACAUUUUGUUUUCACAAACGGAUGGGAUCUGAUUUGAUAUUAAAUAGAUUCCAUCACUAAGAGCCUCUUUACUGUCAUAUAUCCUUUUCAGUCAAAUGCAUUAUAUCCAGAAAAAAAUAAAAAGAAAAAUGAAAGACUCCUUGCCCAGUAGGCUUUUAUGGUACUCUCCCAAACCAAGAGGGUGCGAAAAGAGAGGGGGAGGAGGAGAUUUUUUGAUUUAUCACGGAACGCACUCACCAAAAUACCUACUGCAGUUAUUUCACUCAACUGCCAAUAAUGGCUAGAUCCCUUCACAUCAGUGUAAUGCAGCAAUCAUGAAAGUACCCGUUGCAAUCGCAAGCCACCAAGUUUAGCAAUGCCGGGGCUUUUGCCUUAUAGAAAAUGACCUUACCCACAAGAGUCUUCCCAAAUAUUCCGCUCGUGAGAUCAGUCAGCAAGGUAAUUGCCGGUCAUCACAAUGCGUAUUCGGAGAAUCCACGUUUUUUACUCCUCCGGCGGGGCUAGCGGCGAGCGCGGCGGACGCGAUGCCCAUCCAUGCACCGGUGCCAAGUUCACCGCGGGCGCAGGAACAGAGAAAGAGAGGGAGAGAGCGAGAGGGAGAAACUGCAAUGCAUAAAUGAUUCCAGUGUUUCUACAAGAUCGGCUCAUUUGAUUGAAUGCAUUCUCCGGUUUGCUGCAAGUCAUAAAGAAGAUACUGUUACUGCCACCCAAUGGAUACUUCAGUACUAGCCAAUCCACGCACCACCACCGGCUUUGCAAGCAUUAGUUUUGGAGGCUGUUUUUUGGGGGGGAAGGGCCCUUCGGGAGGGAUCCUGGAGAAACUCCGAAAUAGCAGCGCUCUCUCCUCGCAGGCACCCACGGCGUUUCCAGGUUAGCUCACCCACACGGCGAUGGGACCACAUUUUGAUGCGCUUUCCAAGGGACAGGGGUAAAAGAGAGGCUGCCUGAAGGCUGCCUGCUUCGCGUACGAGUUGCGCGGGGAUCGGUGUAUUUCUCCCCUCCGGUUUCCAAAGUGGAAUGUUGUUUUAAAAGAGAUGAUACAUUAUCUAUUCUUGGAUUUUUAUAAGGCAAACUGUGGGCCUUGCUGUUGCCAUGGGAUCUUCUUUGUGCGAACUCUCUGAACUGUGUGGGAACAGUUUUAUUUCCUUCCCUUCAGAUUUUUUUUUCUCCUCUGUAACUCUUCUGAAGAUAUGCAUCAAAAUGUAACUAUAUUAUUGCCAAUUAAGAUUAACAGCAGCUGCAAGGUGCAUCUAAUUAGGAAUGUUAAUCACUUCAUAAAAUAAAUAGUCAUUUGCAGAUGUUUAUAAUAUUAAA
rnacentral:lncRNA from 1 species